rnacentral:rRNA from 1 species
GGACUACAGGGGUUUCUAAUCCCGUUCGCUCCCCUAGCUUUCGCACAUGAGCGUCAGAUAUGAGCCAGGAUGCUGCCUUCGCCUUUGGUGUUCUUCCAGAUCUCUACGCAUUUCACCGCUCCACCUGGAAUUCCGCAUCCCUCUCUCACCCUCAAGUUUCCCCGUUUUCCAAGGCCUGUGGGAGUUGAGCCCCCACCUGUCACUCGAAACGUAAGAAACCGCCUGCGUGCGCUUUACGCCCAAUAAAUCCGGACAACGCUUGCCCCCUACGUAUUACCGCGGCGGCUGGCAC